UACGGAGGGUGCAAGCGUUAUCCGGAUUCACUGGGUUUAAAGGGUGCGUAGGCGGAUAGGUAAGUCCGUGGUGAAAUCCUGCAGCUUAACUGCAGAACUGCCGUGGAUACUAUCUAUCUUGAAUGUCGUGGAGGUUAGCGGAAUAUGUCAUGUAGCGGUGAAAUGCUUAGAUAUGACAUAGAACACCCAUUGCGAAGGCAGCUAACUACGCGAUAAUUGACGCUGAUGCACGAAAGCGUGGGGAUCAAAACAGG
rnacentral:rRNA from 1 species